CAGUGAUAAACUGGAGGAAGGUGGGGAUGACGUCAAGUCAUCAUGGCCCUUACGACCAGGGCUACACACGUGCUACAAUGGCAUAUACAAAGAGAAGCGACCUCGCGAGAGCAAGCGGACCUCAUAAAGUAUGUCGUAGUCCGGAUUGGAGUCUGCAACUCGACUCCAUGAAGUCGGAAUCGCUAGUAAUCGUGGAUCAGAAUGCCACGGUGAAUACGUUCCCGGGCCUUGUACACACCGCCCGUCACACCAUGGGAGUGGGUUGCAAAAGAAGUAGGUAGCUUAACCUUCGGGAGGGCGCUUACCACUUUGUGAUUCAUGACUGGGGUGAAGUCGUAACAAGGUAACCGUAGGGGAACCUGC
rnacentral:rRNA from 1 species